rnacentral:rRNA from 1 species
GACGAACGCUGGCGGCGUGCCUAACACAUGCAAGUCGAACGGAGAAUUCAUUUAUGAAUUCUUAGUGGCGAACGGGUGAGUAACACGUAGACAACCUGCCUUUUAGAUGGGGACAACACCGCGAAAGUGGUGCUAAUACCGAAUGUUGUAUCUGGUUCGCAUGAGUCGGAUACUAAAGAUGGCCUCUAUUUAUAAGCUAUCGCUAAAAGGCGGGUCUGCGUCUGAUUAGCUAUUUGAGGAGGUAAUGGCUCACCAAGGCGACGAUCAUUAGCCGGUCUGAGAGGAUGAACGGCCACACUGGGACUGAGACACGGCCCAGACUCCUACGGGAGGCAGCAGUGGGGAAUCUUCCGCAAUGGACGAAAGUCUGACGGAGCAACGCCGCGUGAGUGAAGAAGGUUUUCGGAUCGUAAAACUCUGUUUUUAGGGACGAAUGUGCAGAUUGUGAAUAAUGAUUUGUAAUGACGGUACCUGAGUAGAAAGCCACGGCUAACUACGUGCCAGCCGCCGCAGUAAAAC